rnacentral:hammerhead_ribozyme from 1 species
AUUCAGCUGACGUUUCCCAAAUAGGAUGAAAUGUCGCGCGUCCUGGAU